ACAACCUUUCGGGGUUGAGUGGCGGACGGGUGAGUAACGCGUGAGAAUCUGCCUUUAGGUCCGGGACAACCACUGGAAACGGUGGCUAAUACCGGAUGUGCCGCAACGUGAAAGGGGAAACCCGCCUGAAGAUGAGCUCGCGUCUGAUUAGCUAGUUGGUGAGGUAAAGGCUCACCAAGGCGACGAUCAGUAGCUGGUCUGAGAGGAUGACCAGCCACACUGGGACUGAGACACGGCCCAGACUCCUACGGGAGGCAGCAGUGGGGAAUUUUCCGCAAUGGGCGAAAGCCUGACGGAGCAAGACCGCGUGAGGGAAGAAGGCUCUUGGGUCGUAAACCUCUUUUGUCAGGGAAGAACACAAUGACGGUACCUGACGAAUCAGCCUCGGCUAACUCCGUGCCAGCAGCCGCGGUAAUACGGAGGAGGCAAGCGUUAUCCGGAAUUAUUGGGCGUAAAGCGUCCGUAGGUGGCUAGUCAAGUCUGCGGUCAAAGACUGGGGCUUAACCCUGGAAAGGCCGUGGAAACUGACGAGCUAGAGUGCAGUAGGGGUAGAGGGAAUUCCCGGUGUAGCGGUGAAAUGCGUAGAGCUCGGGAAGAACAUCGGUGGCGAAAGCGCUCUACUGGACUGCAACUGACACUCAGGGACGAAAGCUAGGGGAGCGAAUGGGAUUAGAUACCCCAGUAGUCCUAGCCGUAAACGAUGGAUACUA
rnacentral:rRNA from 1 species